GCCGGUGUAGCUCAAUGGUUAGAGUGUCAGCUCAACCACUGCAGGGUCACAGGUUCAAUUCCUUGUCAAUGGCA
rfam:Myotis davidii contig89129, whole genome shotgun sequence.